CCUUGUGCUCGGUUGUCUCAUAUUGUGAGUUAAGUGUUGGACAGUAGUUAGCUGUUCAGAUGUCUGAUUUAGUUACAUAUGUUUUAAGAAUUGUUGGAAAGCACCAUGUCUUUAAAACUCCUAUGAGAUGGUUGCGUGAUGUCCGAAGCUUCAAACGUCAUCAAUCAUGUGGUAUUGUUGCUCAGAUGCAAGCCUCGGCCAGAGUGGUUUAUUUCGAAGCAAGUCUCGAUGGAGAGUGGCACAUUGGACAAUUUUCUGGUACAGCCAUCACAUACUGAGGAAAAAUCUUAUAUGCUUUCUAAUGGACACCUGAAGAUUUUGUGCCAAAAU